rnacentral:rRNA from 1 species
UACGUAGGUCCCGAGCGUUGUCCGGAUUUAUUGGGCGUAAAGCGAGCGCAGGUGGUUUAUUAAGUCUGGUGUAAAAGGCAGUGGCUCAACCAUUGUAUGCAUUGGAAACUGGUAGACUUGAGUGCAGGAGAGGAGAGUGGAAUUCCAUGUGUAGCGGUGAAAUGCGUAGAUAUAUGGAAGAACGCCAGUGGCGAAGGCGAUUCUCUGGACUGUAACUGACGCUGAGGCUCGAAAGCGUGGGGAGCAAACAGG